rnacentral:rRNA from 1 species
GAUGAUGCCCAGCUUGCUGGGUGGAUUAGUGGCGAACGGGUGAGUAAUACGUGAGUAACCUGCCCUUGACUCUGGGAUAAGCCUGGGAAACUGGGUCUAAUACUGGAUACUACCUCUCAUCGCAUGGUGGGGGGUGGAAAGGGUUUUACUGGUUUUGGAUGGGCUCACGGCCUAUCAGCUUGUUGGUGGGGUAAUGGCUCACCAAGGCGACGACGGGUAGCCGGCCUGAGAGGGUGACCGGCCACACUGGGACUGAGACACGGCCCAGACUCCUACGGGAGGCAGCAGUGGGGAAUAUUGCACAAUGGGCGAAAGCCUGAUGCAGCGACGCCGCGUGAGGGAUGACGGCCUUCGGGUUGUAAACCUCUUUCAGUAGGGAAGAAGCGCAAGUGACGGUACCUGCAGAAGAAGCGCCGGCUAACUACGUGCCAGCAGCCGCGGUAAUACGUAGGGCGCAAGCGUUGUCCGGAAUUAUUGGGCGUAAAGAGCUCGUAGGCGGUUUGUCGCGUCUGCUGUGAAAGCCCGGGGCUCAACCCCGGGUCUGCAGUGGGUACGGGCAGACUAGAGUGCAGUAGGGGAGACUGGAAUUCCUGGUGUAGCGGUGAAAUGCGCAGAUAUCAGGAGGAACACCGAUGGCGAAGGCAGGUCUCUGGGCUGUUACUGACGCUGAGGAGCGAAAGCAUGGGGAGCGAACAGGAUUAGAUACCCUGGUAGUCCAUGCCGUAAACGUUGGG